UGGCCAUAAUGGAAAUGCAAGGGCAAUAGGUCAGGAAGAAGGUGAUGCAAUCAGGCUGAUCAGUGCAUCAUGGGCUUGGGCAGACCACAACACACUCUAUCCAUGCCAGGAUAUUCUUCUUGAUGCCACUCUUGGAUCUACAAAUGUUACUAUUUCAGAGACCAGGUCAAGGUUAUGCUUCUUGGGCACGAUGAUGAGUGUUUGACGGGCAAGAACAUGAAGGCGACUCUUGCCCUCAAUCAUUUUGGACCUAUUUGCAAGCAACGAAUGCCAACGGUCACCUGGCAAGCAAUCUCUAGGAAGGAUGGGGAGAGUAUGCAAUUGGUGGAAGCAUGCGAACCAGCAUUCAGAGUGAAGGCAACAACUUCAUUGAGUCAGGAAACAAAGAGGUAAUAUUUCUGCCAUCGGCCUUCCAAGACCAGGGAGAGGUACAUGCCAAAGGAUAGCCGAAGUAGAGAAAAUAAACUACAGAGAAGCAGAAGAAAAUCCUCCAGAAUAUCCUCAAACUGAUGUCCUUGAUUUCUCAGCAGGCAACACAGAUUAAUGGCUUUGGUGAGAAAAGCAAGUCAUGGAACUUCUACUGUGUGGAGGAUUUAUUUGAAAUUGGAGCUUCUUUUAAUCAAACAGGCAGGUAAGGCAAAGCCUAACAACAAUAUUCAAAAAUGGCUCAAGGUUGCAAAUGCCAAAUAUGUCAGGUCAAUAACAAGUUCAACGGGUGCUUUAAGGUACUCAAAUUCGAGAUGCUGAUCCAAAACUAACAGAGAAAAAGAUGAGCAUUUUGCAACAUGACCAAGGAAUAACUACAUAAAACAAAAAUUGUAUAGUAUAGCUUUGGAAAACAUAGAAUUCACUGCGAGAUACUAGUGGUCAGAUAACGAGCCUAAUUUUGUACUUGUGAAAACAUUACAACUAUCAAUAAAAGAA